rnacentral:rRNA from 1 species
AAACUUUCAACAACGGAUCUCUUGGUUCUGGCAUCGAUGAAGAACGCAGCAAAAUGCGAUAAGUAAUGUGAAUUGCAGAAAUUCAGUGAAUCAUCGAAUCUUUGAACGCACAUUGCGCCCGCUGGUAUUUCCGGCGGGCAAUGCCUGUUCGAGCGUCAUUU